rnacentral:snRNA from 1 species
GUGCUCACUUUGGCAGCACAUACACUAAAAUAGGAAAAUACAGAGAAGAUUAUCAUGGCCUCUGCACAAAGAUGACACAUAAAUUUGUGAAGUAUUUAUAUUUUUC